GGAUAGGGGUGAAAGGCUAAUCAAACUCGGUGAUAGCUGGUUCUCCCCGAAAGCUAUUUAGGUAGCGCCUCGGACGAACACCAUUGGGGGUAGAGCACUGUUUCGGCUAGGGGGUCAUCCCGACUUACCAAACCGAUGCAAACUCCGAAUACCGAUGAGUGAUAUCCGGGAGACAGACGGCGGGUGCUAACGUCCGUCGUCAAGAGGGAAACAACCCAGACCGCCAGCUAAGGCCCCAAAUUCCUAGUUAAGUGGGAAACGAUGUGGGAAGGCACAGACAGCUAGGAGGUUGGCUUAGAAGCAGCCAUCCUUUAAAGAAAGCGUAAUAGCUCACUAGUCGAGUCGGCCUGCGCGGAAGAUGUAACGGGGCUCAAACUAGGAGCCGAAGCUGCGGAUUUAAUU
rnacentral:rRNA from 1 species